rnacentral:rRNA from 1 species
CGCAUCUGUGCAUGCAGCAUAUCAAUAAGCGGAGGAAAAGAAACUAACAAGGAUUCCCCUAGUAACGGCGAGUGAAGCGGGAAGAGCUCAAAUUUGAAAUCUUAAAGGGUUUCCCUUUACGAAUUGUAGUUUAAAGAAGUGUUUUCUGUUGAGGUUUUGGUAAAAGUUCUUUGGAAUAGGACAUCAUAGAGGGUGAGAAUCCCGUAUUUGACCUUUACUUUCAACUUUGUGAUACAGCUUUCAAAGAGUCGGAUUGUUUGGGAAUGCAGUCCAAAAUGGGUGGUAAAUUUCAUCUAAAGCUAAAUAUUGGCGAGAGACCGAUAGCGAACAAGUACCGUGAGGGAAAGAUGAAAAGAACUUUGAAAAGAGAGUUAAACAGUACGUGAAAUUGUCAAAAGGGAAGCGUUUGACACCAGUGUUGUUUUUCUGAAAAUCAAUUAAAGAACUGUUUAUGCUAAGCUGUUUAGACUUUAUCAGCUAUCUGUUUAGUUUUGAGCUUUUCUUUAAUGCACUUUUCAGUUAACAAGUCAACAUCUAAUUUCUUUUGCUGUAAAAAAGCUUGAGGAAGGUGGCUUGAGAUUCGUCUUAAGUGUUUAUAGCCUCUUGCCUAUGCAGUCGGAGAGAUUGAGGUCUGCAGCGUAGAUCCUUCGGGGCUAAAUGCAUUUGUGCUAAGUUAUAGCAUUUUAUAGACAACUUGUUGACUAUGAUUUGUCUUGUAGCUUACUCGCUUAUGUUAUUUUACCUACGCUUAGGAUGUUGACGAGACUGUCGAUCUC